UUAGAGUUUGGAUCCUGGCUCAGGACGAACGCUGGCGGCGUGCUUAACACAUGCAAGUCGAACGAUGAACCACUUCGGUGGGGAUUAGUGGCGAACGGGUGAGUAACACGUGGGCAAUCUGCCCUGCACUCUGGGACAAGCCCUGGAAACGGGGUCUAAUACCGGAUACUGAUCCUCGCAGGCAUCUGCGAGGUUCGAAAGCUCCGGCGGUGCAGGAUGAGCCCGCGGCCUAUCAGCUAGUUGGUGAGGUAACGGCUCACCAAGGCGACGACGGGUAGCCGGCCUGAGAGGGCGACCGGCCACACUGGGACUGAGACACGGCCCAGACUCCUACGGGAGGCAGCAGUGGGGAAUAUUGCACAAUGGGCGAAAGCCUGAUGCAGCGACGCCGCGUGAGGGAUGACGGCCUUCGGGUUGUAAACCUCUUUCAGCAGGGAAGAAGCGAAAGUGACGGUACCUGCAGAAGAAGCGCCGGCUAACUACGUGCCAGCAGCCGCGGUAAUACGUAGGGCGCAAGCGUUGUCCGGAAUUAUUGGGCGUAAAGAGCUCGUAGGCGGCUUGUCACGUCGGUUGUGAAAGCCCGGGGCUUAACCCCGGGUCUGCAGUCGAUACGGGCAGGCUAGAGUUCGGUAGGGGAGAUCGGAAUUCCUGGUGUAGCGGUGAAAUGCGCAGAUAUCAGGAGGAACACCGGUGGCGAAGGCGGAUCUCUGGGCCGAUACUGACGCUGAGGAGCGAAAGCGUGGGGAGCGAACAGGAUUAGAUACCCUGGUAGUCCACGCCGUAAACGGUGGGCACUAGGUGUGGGCAACAUUCCACGUUGUCCGUGCCGCAGCUAACGCAUUAAGUGCCCCGCCUGGG
rnacentral:rRNA from 1 species